GGAGAUCGCCGGAGGGAGCUCGCCGGAGGGAUGGUUUUAGUUGGUGUUAUUCAGGCUUAGGAGAGAGUUCCGGGCCUAGGAAGGAACCCAAGAACACCAGCUGCAGGAGCAGGACCCUAGAUUGCCUG